CAAUAGCGUAUAUUAAAGUUGUUGCAGUUAAAAAGCUCGUAGUUGGACCUUGGACCUGGACAGGCGGUCCGCCUCACGGCGAGUACUGUCUUGCUGGGUCUUUCCUCUUGGUGAUCUGUUGUUUCGGCAGCAGGGAACCAGGACCUUUACUCUGAAAAAAUUAGAGUGUUCAAAGCAGGCUCGACGCCGGAAUAUAUUAGCAUGGAAUAAUAAAAUAGGACGUGCGGUUCUAUUUUGUUGGUUUUUGGAAUCGCCGUAAUGAUUAAUAGGGACAGUCGGGGGCAUUAGUACUCACAUGCUAGAGGUGAAAUUCUUGGAUUUUGUGAAGACUAACUUCUGCGAAAGCAUUUGCCAAGGAUGUUUUCAUUAA
rnacentral:rRNA from 1 species